ACAAAGAAAGCCUGAUCACAGACAGUGGGAAGCUACACACUCUUGACAUCCUCCUAACACGGCUAAAAGCCCAGGGCCAUCGUGUGCUCAUUUAUUCCCAGAUGACACGUAUGAUCGAUCUGCUAGAGGAGUACAUGGUCUUCAGACAACAUACUUACAUGAGACUGGAUGGCUCAUCAAAAAUAUCUGAGAGACGGGACAUGGUGGCAGACUUCCAGAGCAGCAAUGGUAUCGAAUCAGGAGAGACUGGCUUCAUAAAUUGAAGAUGGAUGACAGAAACAGCAUGAACUAUCAAGAUAUGAGAGAAAUUCUCUGCCAGUAGUUUUCACCCC